GGAACUGUUGCGCGGAACAUAAUUGAUGAAGGUGAAGCCGCGCGCCUGAUCGAUACAGUGAAACAGCGGGUUCCAGUCGAACAUGUUCAGCAUGAAGGUCGGUAGCGAAUUGGCUAGGAACAUCUUGCCCGAAGCGAUCAUGUUGGCGCGUUG
rnacentral:ncRNA from 1 species